UUGGACGCUGGCGGCAGGCCUAACACAUGCAAGUCGAGCGGAUGACGGGAGCUUGCUCCUGGAUUCAGCGGCGGACGGGUGAGUAAUGCCUAGGAAUCUGCCUGGUAGUGGGGGACAACGUUUCGAAAGGAACGCUAAUACCGCAUACGUCCUACGGGAGAAAGCAGGGGACCUUCGGGCCUUGCGCUAUCAGAUGAGCCUAGGUCGGAUUAGCUAGUUGGUGAGGUAAUGGCUCACCAAGGGGACGAUCCGUAACUGGUCUGAGAGGAUGAUCAGUCACACUGGAACUGAGACACGGUCCAGACGCCUACGGGAGGCAGCAGUGGGGAAUAUUGGACAAUGGGCGAAAGCCUGAUCCAGCCAUGCCGCGUGUGUGAAGAAGGUCUUCGGAUUGUAAAGCACUUUAAGUUGGGAGGAAGGGUUGUAGAUUAAUACUCUGCAAUUUUGACGUUACCGACAGAGUAAGCACCGGCUAACUCUGUGCCAGCCGCCGCCGUAACAC
rnacentral:rRNA from 1 species